AUGAAGCUUUUAGUGUGUGAAGCUUUUGAGAAUUGUGGUUGAACUCCUUUGAUGAAGCUUUUGUUGGCACCAUAAAUUGGUUUUGCUUCACACUGUCUUGAUCAAGAGUGUGUGAAGCUUUUGAGAAUUGUGGUUGCCCUCCAUUGAUGAAGCUCUUGUUGGCACCAUAAAUUGGUUUUGCUUCACACUGUCUUGAUCAAGAGUGUGUGAAGCUUUUGAGAAUUGUGGUUGAACUCCUUUGAUGAAGCUCUUGUUGGCACCAUAAAUUGGUUUUGCUUCACACUGUCUUGAUCAAGAGUGUGUGAAGCUUUUGAGAAUUGUGGUUGCCCUCCAUUGAUGAAGCUCUUGUUGUUGGCACCAUAAAUUGGUUUUGCUUCACACUGUCUUGAUCAAGAGUGUGUGAAGCUUUUGAGAAUUGUGGUUGCCCUCCAUUGAUGAAGCUCUUGUUGGCACCAUAAAUUGGUUUUGCUUCACACUGUCUUGAUCAAGAUGUGUGAAGCUUUUGAGAAUUGUGGUUGCCCUCCAUUGAUGAAGCUCUUGUU
rnacentral:sRNA from 1 species